ACUACUUGGGCCGAAGGCCCAAAUCUCUAAAAGGAAAUCAAGGCUAGGUUCGGUCCACCUUGACCAUAUCUUCUUCGUGACCCUUUCUCAACAUUGCAAUGCGACGACACUGUAUUCCUCACCGUAAAAAGAAACGAUAUCACCUUGAUUGCAAGCCGAGGGAGACAAAAUCGUCGGGCAGAAUCGAAAGGAAGAACUUUCUACAUCGCCAUAUGCGAUCGUGGAUUUGCCGCGGCCAAGAAGAAACGCUCCCGUGCGAUAUCAUGAAUGUGUGAAUCUGAGCCUCGUCGAAGAGUCGAGUCUGAAUCGUGACCAACUCAAAACGACGUCUUCAGAAUGGAAACACAAUUCUUGUGCACAACAUGAAGAUGAUUGAAGGUAGAAGAACGUACUGGUUGGUCGUGUUGUUUUAAGAGAGUUUAAAAAUGGAGGUGUGGUUGUUGAUCCUGUUAUGGGGGUGGUUAGGGAUUGUCUAGUUAUCAGUUAACAGGUUCAUUCUAUGGUGGUGGAGGGUUCUGUAGGUUGGAGUUUUGAAGUUCUGGAAGUUGUUAGCAGGGUGUUGAAAGGAGUUGUUAGAAGGAGGUUAGAAAUUGAGGGAAGUGAAUGGAGAGUGAAGAAGUUUGAAGUUGGAAGUGGAGAUGAAAUUGUUAAUUGUUGGUUGAGAGUUAGUUGAAGGUUGUUAUGAAUGGAAAGUUCAUUCUGUUGAGUUUGUUGUACAGUUGGCGAAGGUUGUGAGGUUGUUAGGAUUCAGUUAUGUUGUUAGACUUGCACCAAAACAUUAAACACUGAUCUAUUGCUUCUAGUUUCAAAUCCUUGUUAUGGACGCAACAAAACACCCAACCUUUAGACUCAAACUUCACCUCCUACCCGUUGAUCCAGCUCGUGGCUUUCCUUUAACCUCAAAGUCCUGUGGUAAGUGCAAAUAAAUGCAGUUCUUUGCAGUAGUUGGAUUGUGAUUUUCUGCACCUUUGCUACAAUCAUAACAAACCGCAUAAGCAUAUAUGGAGCCAUCAUUAUUGAAUGCACCGCAAGGUAUGGGCUGACCACACCUUUGCAUAGCCUUGAGUUUCUGUUUACUGUCUUUAUCCUAGAAAUUAAAGGCACCAUCAGAUCCAGCAGUUGCAAAAGUGUGAUGUACAUGAUGGAAACUUAAGGAGCUGACUGCAUAUAUGUCAGUGCUUUCUCUGUGGGAUUCAAAAGUAAAAUCCUUUUUUUUGCUCAGUUCAUUGAGUUUUGGAAUUGGAGUUGAGGAGGAGAUUUAAAUGGUGUUAAGAAUGGUUCUGAACUGAGUUUUGCAGGGGGUUCUGCCAUAUCAAUCGGGGAGGGUCUUUGUUCUUGUUUUCGAUUCAGUUUUUGUGAAGUUGGCUAGGCUAAGUUUUUUUUUUGGUUCAAUUUGAUUAGGAUUGGCUUCCUGUGUAUAUUGUAUUGUUAUGUAUGCAAUGUGGCUUGUGAAACUAUUGUUGUGAUGCUAAUGUAAUAUGGAAGUGUUGGACUUGUAAUGCUAUUUAGAUGUGGAAAUGUGAUAUGCUUGAAAUGUUUUGGUGUUUGUA